UACGGAGGGUGCGAGCGUUAUCCGGAAUUACUGGGUUUAAAGGGUGCGUAGGCGGCUAUGUAAGUCAGGAGUGAAAGUUUGCGGCUCAACCGUAAAAUUGCUUUUGAUACUGCAUGGCUAGAAUCAGGAUGAGGUUAGCGGAAUGUGGCAUGUAGCGGUGAAAUGCAUAGAUAUUCGGAAGAACACCAGUGGCGAAGGCGGCUCACUGGACCGGUAUUGACGCUGAGGUGCGAAAGCGUGGGGAGCAAACAGG
rnacentral:rRNA from 1 species